CAGCGCCACGGUAAUACGAAGGGUGCAAGCGUUAAUCGGAAUUACUGGGCGUAAAGCGUGCGUAGGCGGUGAGUUAAGUCUGCUGUGAAAUCCCCGGGCUCAACCUGGGAAUGGCAGUGGAUACUGGCUCGCUAGAGUGUGUCAGAGGAUGGUGGAAUUCCCGGUGUAGCGGUGAAAUGCGUAGAGAUCGGGAGGAACAUCAGUGGCGAAGGCGGCCAUCUGGGACAACACUGACGCUGAGGCACGAAAGCGUGGGGAGCAAACAGGAUUAGAUACCCCAGUAGUCCCUGUCUCUUAUACA
rnacentral:rRNA from 1 species